rfam:Triticum aestivum genome assembly, contig: Triticum_aestivum_CS42_TGACv1_scaffold_274339_3DS
GUCCUACUCCCUCAGUCCGAAAAAGCUUGUCCCUCAAAUGGAUGUAUCUAGCUCCAAGUUAGUACUAGAUACAUCCAUUUAAGGGACAAGUUUUUUUAGACGGAGGAAGUACUAU